rnacentral:rRNA from 1 species
GCAUAUCAAUAAGCGGAGGAAAAAGAAACUAACAAGGAUUCCCCUAGUAGCGGCGAGCGAAGCGGGAAAAGCUCAAAUUUGUAAUCUGGCGUCUACGACGUCCGAGUUGUAAUCUCGAGAAGUGUUUUCCGUGAUAGACCGCAUACAAGUCUCUUGGAACAGAGCGUCAUAGUGGUGAGAACCCAGUACACGAUGCGGAUGCCUAUUACUUUGUGAUACACUUUCGAAGAGUCGAGUUGUUUGGGAAUGCAGCUCAAAUUGGGUGGUAAAUUCCAUCUAAAGCUAAAUAUUGGCGAGAGACCGAUAGCGAACAAGUACCGUGAGGGAAAGAUGAAAAGCACUUUGGAAAGAGAGUUAACAGUACGUGAAAUUGUUGGAAGGGAAACACAUGCAGCCAGACUUGCUAUUCGGGGCAACUCGAUUGGCAGGCCCGCAUCAGUUUUUCGGGGCGGAAAAGCAUAGAGAGAAGGUAGCAAUUUCGGUUGUGUUAUAGCUCUUUAUUGGAUUCGCCCUGGGGGACUGAGGAACGCAGCGUGCUUUUAGCAUAAGCUUCGGCUUAUCCACGCUUAGGAUGCGGGUGUAAUGGCUGUAUAUGACCCGUCUUGAAACACGGACCAAGGAGUCUAACAUGCUUGCGAGUAUUUGGGUGUCAAACCCGGAUGCGCAAUGAAAGUGAAUGGAGGUGGGAAGCGCAAGCUGCACCAUCGACCGAUCUGGAUCUUUUGAGAUGGAUUUGAGUAAGAGCAAGUAUGUUGGGACCCGAAAGAUGGUGAACUAUGCCUGAAUAGGGCGAAGCCAGAGGAAACUCUGGUGGAGGCUCGUAGCGGUUCUGACGUGCAAAUCGAUCGUCAAAUUUGGGUAUAGGGGCGAAAGACUAAUCGAACCAUCUAGUAGCUGGUUCCUGCCGA